UACGGGGGGAGCAAGCGUUGUUCGGAUUUACUGGGCGUAAAGGGCGCGUAGGCGGUCGUGACAAGUCACUUGUGAAAUCUCCGAGCUUAACUCGGAGCGGUCAAGUGAUACUGUCGGACUAGAGUACAGAAGGGGCAACUGGAAUUCUCGGUGUAGCGGUGAAAUGCGUAGAUAUCGGGAGGAACACCAGUGGCGAAGGCGGCUAGCUGGCCUGUAACUGACGCUGAGGCGCGAAGGCUAGGGGAGCGAACAGG
rnacentral:rRNA from 1 species